rnacentral:rRNA from 1 species
AGUUUGAUCCUGGCUCAGAUUGAACGCUAUGGGAUGCUUACAAUAUGCAAGUCGAACGGCAGCACGGACUUCGGUCUGGUGGCGAGUGGCGAACGGCAGAUAAUGUAUCGGAACGUGCCUAGUAGCGGGGGAUAACUACGCGAAAGCGUAGCUUACCGCAUACAACGCCCUUCGGGGGAAAGCGGGGGACCUUCGGCCUCGCACUAUUAGAGCGGCCGAUAUCGGAUUAGCUAGUUGGUGGGGUAACGGCUCACCAAGGCGACGAUCCGUAGCUGGUUUGAGUGACGACCAGCCACACUGGGACUGAGACACGGCCCAGACUCCUACGGGAGGCAGCAGUGGGGAAUUUUGGACAAUGGGGGAAACCCCGAUCCAGUCAUCCCGCGUGUGCGAUACGCCUCGGGUUGUAAAGCACUUUUGGUGAAAGAAACGGCACGGGAUAAUACCCCGUGCAACUGACGGUACCUGCAGAAUAAGCACCGGCUAACUACGUGCCAGCAGCCGCGGUAAUACUGUAGGUGCAAGCGUUAAUCGGAAUUAUCAGGCGUAAAGCGUGCGCAGGCGGUUCGGAAAGAAAGAUGUGAAAUCCCAGAGCUUAACUUUGGAACUGCAUUUUUAACUACCGAGCUAGAGUGUGUCAGAGGGAGGUGGAAUUCGCGUGUAGCAGUGAAAUGCGUAGAUAUGCGGAGGAACACCGAUGGCGAAGGCAGCCUCCUGGGAUAACACUGACGCUCAUGCACGAAAGCGUGGGGAGCAAACAGGAUUAGAUACCCUGGUAGUCCACGCCCUAAACGAUGUCAACUAGCUGUUGGGGCCUUCGCCUUGGUAGCGCAGCUAACGCGUGAAGUUGACCGCCUGGGGAGUACGGUCGCAAGAUUAAAACCUGUAUGAAUUGACGGGACCCGUACAAGCGGUGGAUGAUGUGGAUUAAUUCGAUGCAACGCGAAAAACCUUACCUACCCUUGACAUGUCUGGAAUCCCGAAGAGAUUUGGGGAGUGCUCGCAAGAGAACCGGAACACAGGUGCUGCAUGGCUGUCGUCAGCUCGUGUCGAGAUGUUGGGUUAAGUCCCGCAACGAGCGCAACCCUUUGUCAUUAUUGCUACGAAAGGGCACUCUAAUGAGACUGCCGGUGACAAACCGGAGGAAGGUGGGGAUGACGUCGUUCUCAUAUUCCUGAUGGGGUAGGGCUUCACACGUCAGUACAAUGGCCGGGACAGAGGGUCGCCAACCCGCGAGGGGAGCCAACUUGCAAACCCGAUCGAACCGGAUCGCAGCUCCGCAACUCGACUGCGUGAAGUCGGAAUCGCUAGUAAUCGGUGAUCAGCAUGUCGCGGUGAAUACGUUCCCGGGUCUUGUACACACCGCCCGUCACACCAUGGAGUGGGUUUUACCAGAAGUAGUUAGCCUAACCGUAAGGAGGGCGAUUACCACGGUAGGAUUCAUGACUGGGGUGGCGCUGGGAAUAAGGUAG